ACCGCCCUAGUUCUGACCGUAAACGAUACCAACUAGCGUUCCGCCGUUGGUGAUCAUCAUCAUGGCGGGCAGCUUCCCGGAAACGAAAGUGUUUCGGUUCCGGGGGAAGUAUGGUUGCAAAGCUGAAACUUAAAGAAAUUGACGGAAGGGCACCACCAGGAGUGGAGCCUGCGGCUUAAUUUGACUCAACACGGGAAAACUCACCUGGUCCGGACACCGUGAGGAUUGACAGAUUGAAAGCUCUUUCUUGAUUCGGUGGUUGGUGGUGCAUGGCCGUUCUUAGUUGGUGGAGUGAUUUGUCUGGUUUAUUCCGAUAACGAGCGAGACUCUAGCCUACUAAAUAGUUGCUGGAUAAAGUACAAAGUCCAGAAUAGACUUCUUAGAGGGACAAGCGAUGUUCAGUCGCGCGAAGUUGAGCAAUAACAGGUCUGUGAUGCCCUUAGAUGUCCAGGGCUGCACGCGCGCUACACUGGAGGAAACAAUGUGAUUUAUCGGCCUCCGAAAGGAGCCCGGAAUCCUUGAAAAUCCUCCGUGAUUGGGAUCGGGAGUUGCAAUUAUUUCCCUUGAACGAGGAAUUCCUAGUAAGUGUGAGUCAUCAGCUCACGCUGAUUACGUCCCUGCCCUUUGUACACACCGCCCGUCGCUGCCCGGGACUGAGCCGUUUCGAGAAAAGCGAGGAUCAUUGGUUCGAAGCCCGUCAGGGUGUAGAUACUUGAUGCGAAUCGCUUUAAUCGCAGUGGCUUGAACCA
rnacentral:rRNA from 1 species